rnacentral:miRNA from 1 species
CUUGUGAGAAAGGCAAAUACUUAGGCCCCACCCUAAACUUCUUGAACAUGAAACUCUGGGGGUGGAGUCCAGAAAUCUGCCUUUUCAC